rnacentral:rRNA from 1 species
GGUGAACGCUGGCGGCGUGCCUAAUACAUGCAAGUCGAGCGAACGGACGAGAAGCUUGCUUCUCUGAUGUUAGCGGCGGACGGGUGAGUAACACGUGGAUAACCUACCUAUAAGACUGGGAUAACUUCGGGAAACCGUAGCUAAUACCGGAUAAUAUUUUGAACCGCAUGGUUCAAUAGUGAAAGACGGUCUUGCUGUCACUUAUAGAUGGAUCCGCGCUGCAUUAGCUAGUUGGUAAGGUAACGGCUUACCAAGGCAACGAUGCAUAGCCGACCUGAGAGGGUGAUCGGCCACACUAGAGCUGAGACACGGUCCAGACUCCUACGAGAGGCAGCAGUAGCGAAUCUUCCGCAAUGGUCGAAAGCCUGACGGAGCGACGCCGCGUGAGUUAUGAAGAUCCUCGGAUCGUAAAACUCUGUUAUGAGUGAAGAACAGAUUUGUAAGUAACUGUGCACUUCUUGACGGUACCUAGUCAGAAAGCCACGGCUAACUACGUG